GACGAACGCUGGCGGCGUGCUUAACACAUGCAAGUCGAACGGAAAGGCCCUGCUUUUGUGGGGUGCUCGAGUGGCGAACGGGUGAGUAACACGUGAGUAACCUGCCCUUGACUUUGGGAUAACUUCAGGAAACUGGGGCUAAUACCGGAUAGGAGCUCCUGCUGCAUGGUGGGGGUUGGAAAGUUUCGGCGGUUGGGGAUGGACUCGCGGCUUAUCAGCUUGUUGGUGGGGUAGUGGCUUACCAAGGCUUUGACGGGUAGCCGGCCUGAGAGGGUGACCGGCCACAUUGGGACUGAGAUACGGCCCAGACUCCUACGGGAGGUAGCAGUGGGGAAUAUUGCACAAUGGGCGGAAGCCUGAUGCAGCAACGCCGCGUGCGGGAUGGCGGCCUUCGGGUUGUAAACCGCUUUCGCCUGUGACGAAGCGUGAGUGACGGUAAUGGGUAAAGAAGCACCGGCUAACUACGUG
rnacentral:rRNA from 1 species